AUUUUAUACAAAUAUAUAUUAUUCUGGAGUAACAUUAUAUUUAACUAGUUAAAUUGUUUAACCACUUGUAAUUCGAGGUUAAUUUUUCCUGGCAUCAAUAGUGUCUUACUGAGAUAAUAAUGGAUUAUGUUAAGACAGUCUUAUUCUUUCCAGUUGAAAAGACUGUUCUCUAGCAUGGGCAGAAAAGAAAGUCUGUUUUUUCCUUGAUAAAGCAAAUGAAAGUAAAGUGAAAAAAGCAUUGCUGGAGCACACAUCUAGACAAAGCUGCUUCAUGCUUAAGAAGAAAGCCAGCUGUGAAGCGAUACUGGCCAUUUAUGGUCAGAUGAUGGCUUUCAAUGGCAUCAGUUAAAUUUAAAGAUACCAAGAAAAUUGUGUGACAUUGCAUUAAAAAGCUUUUAGACCGCUCUUUGGAUACAAAAUGCAGUUUUCGUGUAACUUUUCUCUCUCCAAGCUAGUGGAGAAUAAGGCAAUGAUGUUUGUACUUUAGGGCAGACUGGGAGUUAUUGUUACAGAAUCCAAAUCCAGCCAAGCAAGAAUUGGGUACAAGUUAUUCAUUUCAAUUGUGUCUUUUAUACUGUACUUUUUAAAAGAUUGAUGUUUCCUUUUACCAAGAAUUAGCUGCUAUUCAUAUAUUUUAUUCAAUUACAGUUAUUAUGUCCUGUUGAAUUUUUUUUCACUACUCCUACCACUGUCCUUUCAGUAUUCGCAAAAAAGCUCUUACAAUAUUCCAUUCUGUGAGAAGUUUCGACCAAAAAGUGAGUGUAACUCUGAUAACACUUAUUUAUAGAGCAGUUGGCUUUGAUGAACAAUGAACUGUUACUUGAUUUUACUCUUGGUUCAAGGACAUCCACAAGUGCUGUCAAAUUGAAAGCACACAAGUCACCUUCCUAAAGAGGUAAGUGGUUUUCCUUCCUCUCUCUCCUGGACAGAGGUCAAUUUCUGUUCAGAUUGGUUUGUUUAUUCCAUGAGAAUAUGGUAUUUAAAACACAUAAUUAAAAUGUACAGUUUGAAAAGUUUGGACAUAUGUAUACACUUGUUUAACCAUCACCAGUCAUUAUAAUGAGCACAUCCUUUAUCCUCAGAAGUUUUCUCAUGCCGUUUGCAAUGGAUUCCUUUCCUCCUGUCUCUACACUCCAGCCCCAGGCAACCAACGAUCUGCUUUGUCACUGUGGAUUAGUUUGUUUGAUUUAGCAUUUUAUAUCAAAGAAAUCAUAGAGUCUGUAUCUUUUUUUGUCUUGCUUCUUUCACUCAGCAUAAUUAUUUUGAGAUUUAUUGUGUUGUAGCAUGAAUAAGUAGUUAAUUUAUAUCUACUGGUGUGAAGUAUUCUAUUGCAUGGAAACAACACAAUUUAUGUAUCUAUUCACACAUUGAUGUACUUGGCAAGUAAAGUUGCUAUGUGGUGUUAUAAUUUGCAUUUUCCUAGUGAAUAAUGAUGUUCAGCAUCUUUUCAUAGAUUAGUUGGUCAUCCAGCUACUUUGGGGAAGUAUCUGCUCAAAUAUUUUGAUUAUUUUAAAAAAUUGGAUUGUUUGAUUUUUAGUAAGUUUCAGUAAACAUUUGAGUUUUUAGAAUUGUUUAUGCAUUUGGUAUACAGGCCCUUUGUGAGAUAUGUGAUGUGCAAAUAUUUUCUCCCAGUCUGUGGCUUGUCUUUUCAUUCUCUUUCAAUGACUUUCAAAGUGUUAUUUUUAAUUGUAAUGAAGUCCAACUCAUUAAUUUUUUUGUUAUGGUUUGUGUUUUCAUUGACAUAUCAAUAAAAUCUUUGCCUAAUUUCAUGCCAUAAAGAUAUUUUUCCUGUAUUUUCUCCCUGAAGAUAUAUAGUAUUUUGUUUUACAUUUAGGUCUAUUACUCAUGUUGAUCCAAUUUGAGUUAAUUUCUGUAUAUGGUAUGAGGUAUUAAGAGAGUUCAUUUUUUACAUGAAUAUUCAAUAACUAUAGCACUAUUCAUUCAAAAGAUUAUCCUGUGUGCACUGAAUUGCUUUAUAAAAACUCAGUUGUUCAUAUAUUUAUAUGUCUGUUUCUAGACUCUUAGUUGUUUCAUUUAUCUGUCUGUCUUUACACAAGUGCCACACUCUAUGAUUAAUGUAGUUUUAUAAUAAGCCUUGAACCUAGGUAGCAUUAUUCCUGUAACUUUAUUUUUCAAAGUUGUUAUGACUCUUUAUAUAAGCUUUAUAAAUGGCUUUUUGAAUUUCCAUAUGAAUUUUGAAAGUGGUCUGUCAUUUCUAUUAAAAAGAAGACAAAAACCCCUGGGAAUUUUAUUAAGAUUGCAUUAAAUCUAUAGGUCAAUUUAAGAAGAAUUGACAUUUUAAAACUAUUAAGAUUUCUAAUUCAUGCACAUAGUAUCUCUUUGCUUAUCUAAGACAUAAUUUUUUCAACGUUUUGUAGUUUUCAGUGUAUUAGUCCUUUACAUGUUUCCAGAAAUUUUUCCUGUUUCACUUAUUUCUAGUUUCUAAAGGUAGAAGUUGAGAUAAUUGAUUUCAGAUCUUAUUUCUUUUCUAAUGCAGAUCUUUCACACUAUAAAUUACUGAUUUAGUGGCAUGCAUAAAUUUCAGUAUGCUGCAUUUUUAUUUUUAUUUAAAAAUUAUUUGUAAUUUAUUUUUUAUUCUUCCUUUGACUCCCUCACCGUUCAGUUUUUAGAAGUACUUUAGCUAGUUCUCUCUCUCUCAAUUUUAUUUAAUUUCAUUGUGAUCAAAAAAUAUACUUUGAAUAACAAAUUUUUUUAAGUUUAUAAAGAUUUAUUUUCUGGUUAAGAAUAUAGUCUAUUUUGGUGACUAAUUCAUGAGCCCCUGAAAAUAAGGCAUAUUUUCAGUUUUAAAUAAAGUGCUAAAUGCCAGUUAUGUCAAUUUGGUCUCCUAAAUGCCAAUUAUGUCAAUUUGGUUUAUGAUAUUGUUUGGCUGUUCUCUCAUGUAUCUUUAUUGACUCUCUAUCUACUUAUCAAUUAUUGACACAGGAGUAUUUAAAUUGCCAACUAUAAUUAUGGAUUUAUCAAUUUCUCCUUCCAGUUCUAUCAGUUUAUACUUUAUGUAUUUUGAAAUUUUGUUGAAUUCUAGGUGGUAAAGCCCAUUAUCACUCAAAUUACGAUCAAAUGACCCAGUUUCUUGGGAAUGCUAACAUUCUUGAAUUUACAUUUUCUAUUGCUAUGCCUCCAAAUUAAUCGCCCCAUAUAAAGAGAUGCUUAGGCUGAGAGUAUGCCCAGGAUGGAAAGAGGAGACAAACACACGAAGUACCCAAUAGCAUUGUCUUCAAAGGACAGGCUCUGAUAGCCGCUGGAGGUGGCAUUGAAGAUUUAAUUUGGAAAGAUGUCAAGAAAACAAAGGAUUUCUCUCUGACCUCCUUUCCCCAAUGGAAAAGAUGAUAUCACUUCGAAGUUUCUUCUAAAACAAAGAAUAACUUUUCAAAAGUUUCCUUUGAAAUUGGAGUCAGUAAAGCUGAACAAAAAUAUCAUAAACACACCUAAUCUUUGUCCACUUCCCAAGCCUGUCCCAAUUUCUGAUGAAUGCUACACUCAGAACCAUUUCUCAUAUAAAGAGAACAUUUGCUAUUUAUUGGAAAAAGUUCCAUUUUUUUGACAAUGUACUGUAAUUCCUUGGGAGUAGGCUCCUAAAUUGUCAAUCUUGGCAUAUGAAAAAUUCAAACGAAUUAACAAUAAAAUUGUUAUAUUAGUCUGUUCUCACACUGCUGUGAAGAAACAUCAGAGACUGGGUAACUUAGAAAGGAAAGAGGUUUACAUGACUCACAGUUCUGCGUUGCUGGGGAGGCCUCAGAAACUUACAAUAAUGGCAGAAGGCAAAACAGAAGCAGGCACCUUACUCACAGUGCAGCAGGAUGGAAUAAGUGCAAGCAAGGGAUACGCUGGAUGCUUAUAAAACCAUCAGAUCUCCUGAGAACUCACUCACUAUCAUGAGAACAGCAUGGGGGAACCGCCACCAUCAUCCAAUUACCUCCACCUGUUCCCGCCCUUGACACAUGGAGAUUAUGGGGAUUACAAAUCAAGGGUAAGCCAUGGCGUUUCAUCAAUUAACAAUAAAGGAAGAAAGCAGGCCUAAAGCCUAUGAUGGAAAAAGAAAAUGGCAGAAGAGAUUGUGAACUUAAGUAAAGUAUUGUAGGUUCAGGAGUACAUGUGCAGAAUGUGCAGUGUUGUUACAUAGAUAAAUGUGUGUCAUGAUGGUUUGCUGCACGGAUCAUCUCAUCACCCAGGUAUUAAGCCCAGCAUCCAUUAGCUAUUCUUUCUUAUGCUCUCCCUUCUAAAAAGUGUUCUACCCUUCACCUUAAAAAAUGCCCCAGUGUGUGUUCUCCACCCCCAUCAUGUGUGCAUGUGUUCUCAUAAUUCAGCUCCCACUUAUAAGAGAGAGCAUGCAGCAUUUGGUUUUCUUUUCCUGCAUUAAUUUGCUGAUAAUAAUGGCUUCCAUGACCUUGCAAAGGACAUGAUUUUGUUCCUUUUUAUGGCUGCAUAGUAUGUAUAUGUACCACAUUUCCUUUAUCCAGUCUAUCAUUUGAUGGGCAUUUAGGUUGAUUCCAUCUCUUUGCAAUUGUGAAGAGUGCUGCAAUAAAUAUACACAUGCAUGUAUCUUUAUAAUAAAAAGAUUUAUAUUCCUUUGGUUAUAUAUCCAGUAAUUGGGAUUGCUGGGUCGAAUCGUAUUUCUGCCUCUAGGUCUUUGAGGAAUGGCCACACUGUCUUCUACAAUGGUUGAGCUAAUUUACACUCCCACCAAUAGUGCAUAAGUAUUCCCUUUUCUCGGCAACCUCACCAUCAUCUGCUAUUAUUUUUUUUGACUUUUUAGUAAUAGCCAUUCUAACUGGUGUUAGAUGGUAUCUGAUUAUGGUUUUGAUUUGCAUUUCACUAAUAAUCAGUGAUGUUGAGCUUUUCUUCAUGUAUUUGCUGGCCACAUGUAUGUCCUCUUUUGAGAAGUGUCUGUUCAUGUCCUUUGCCCACUUUUUAAUGUGGUUGUUUGGUGGUUUUUUUCUUGUAAAUUGUUUAAGCUUCAUGUAGAUGCUGGAUAUUAGACCUUUAUCAGGUGGAUAGAGUGCAAAAAUUUUCUUCCGCUCUUUACAUUGUCUGUUUCCUCUGUUGAUAGUUUCUUUUGCUGUGCAGAAACUCUUUUGUUUAAUUAAAUCCCAUUUGUCAAUUUUUGCUUUUGUUCCAAUUGCUUUUGGCAUCUUCGUCAUGAAAUCUUUGCCUGUGCCUAUAUCCUGAAUAGAAUUGCCUUUGUUUUCUUAUAGGGUUUUUAUAGUUUUGGGUUUUACAUUGAAGUCUUUAAACCAUAUUGAGUUAAUUUCUGUAUAAGUUGUAAGGAAUGGGUCCUGUUUCAAUUUUCUGCAUAUAGCUAGGCAGUUCUUUCUGUACCAUUUAUUAAACAGGGAAUCUUUUCCCCAUUGCUUGUUUUUGUCAGAUUUGUCAAAGAUCAGAUGGUUGUCAGUGUGUAGUCUUAUUUCUGCGUUCUCUAUUCUGUUCCAUUGAUCUGUGUGUCUGUUCUUGUACCAGUAUCAUGCUGUUUUGAUUACUGUAGCCCUGUAGUAUAGUUUGAAUUCAGAUAGCAUGAUGCCUUCAGCUUCGUUCUUUUUGCUUAGAAUAGCCUUGGCUAUUUGGGCUCUUUUUUUGUUUUCAUAGGUAUUAUAAAACAGUUUUUUCUAAUUCUAUGAGGAAUGUCAAUGGUAGUUUAACAGGAACAGCACUGAAUCUAUAAAUUACUUCAGGCAGUAUGGCCAUUUUCACAAUAUUGAUUCUUCCUAUUCAUGAACGUGAACUUUUUUGUGUUUACUUUUGUCAUCCCUGACUCCUCUGAGCAGAGCUUUGUAGUUACCUUGUAGAGAUAUUUCACAUCCUUUGUUAGCUGUAUUCCUAUGUGUUUUAUUCUGUUUGUGAUGAUUGUGAUUGGGAGUUCAUUUGUGAUUUGACUCUCAACUUGACUCUUGUUGGUGUACAGGAAUGCUAACAAUGUUUGC
rnacentral:lncRNA from 10 species